AGCGCAGGGGCUGGGGCGGGGCUGAGGCGCUGAGCUAUGCGUGCCCUCAGGACUCGUCUGAGGGCCGUCGGCCGGGGAGAUUUCACUCGCUCUGCUGCCGGUCGGGAUAAGUGACAGCAAACGCUCCGGCUCUGCGGAGUUUGUGGGAAUUCAAGGCAUUCCUGCCUUUGUUUCCAGCCCGGGCAGUCCCAGCCCUGCGCUCCUCCUCAGGGGUUUAUAGCCAUAGUUCCGUAUGGGGCCUCUUCUCGGGUGGCUGAAAACCAGCUUCUCAUUUCCAUCUAAAUCAAUAGCUGUUUGUGGUUUUUUGUUUACUUCCCUUUUCCUUGUAGUUACGUAUCCAAUUCCCUCACAUUUGUUGUGUUAGGUUAUAUAAGCCAAACCUUUUGAGCCCUGCACGGUCAUACAAGCGGUUCCCUGGUCAUUGGGAUGUAUGUUCUGCGGCACUUUCUCAAUUUAAAUGCUUUUUAAAUGCUUUUUCUCCUGAGAGGGGCUGCUGCAUGGAGUGCCCGACGGCGGUGCCUCAAACACAACACUAAUGUUUUCCUGAAGCUGGUGGAAAUUCCAUGACUGGGCUCGCACUGGUCGCUCUCAGUCACACCAUGCCGUCAGUUUCCUGUCACCCUGCUGUUGACAUCCUGUCCUUACCCCAUGGAUUACCAUGUUCAUCCUUACUGAAAAUCAGCUCCUAGGAUGUGCUUGAGUUCCUUUGGAGGUGCUUAUCUUGCUGUGGCAUGCCUGGUCACACACCAUCCCAGUGACAAUUCCCUUCUCCUGGGGUGAUCUGACAGCAAAGGAGAUGCAGAUUAGCCAUGGACUGAACCAAGCUGGCAGAAAAUCAGCCACUGGAUUGAAAAGUGCAGCUUCUCCAUCUGAUACUUCUUCCAGCACAGGGUCUCCUGGACACAGUCGGGUUUAUGGCUGUUGACACUGACACAUUGAACCCUUCUGAGGACAAAGAUAUCUUGGAGCAAAAGGACGGGGUAAAGCCGUCAUGCCUGAUGCCAGUUCUGGCUGCCUGGUGCCAGCUGUGUCUGGAGGAGAGCACUGAGCCAAGUCCAGAGUGAUAAGAGGCUGCAGAAGGUGCUUUUCUCUGUCCCAGUGCACACAUGCCCCGGGAGUGGGGGCUGUGUUUGUGAGUUUCUGUGACAGCUCCAGCUGCCCCCAGGCAGGGUCUGUGU